UUUAACUGAAGAGUUUGAUCAUGGCUCAGAUUGAACGCUGGCGGCAGGCUUAACACAUGCAAGUCGAGCGGGGGAAGGUAGCUUGCUACUGGACCUAGCGGCGGACGGGUGAGUAAUGCUUAGGAAUCUGCCUAUUAGUGGGGGACAACAUCUCGAAAGGGAUGCUAAUACCGCAUACGUCCUACGGGAGAAAGCAGGGGAUCUUCGGACCUUGCGCUAAUAGAUGAGCCUAAGUCGGAUUAGCUAGUUGGUGGGGUAAAGGCCUACCAAGGCGACGAUCUGUAGGGGGUCUGAGAGGAUGAUCCGCCACACUGGGACUGAGACACGGCCCAGACUCCUACGGGAGGCAGCAGUGGGGAAUAUUGGACAAUGGGGGGAACCCUGAUCCAGCCAUGCCGCGUGUGUGAAGAAGGCCUUAUGGUUGUAAAGCACUUUAAGCGAGGAGGAGGCUACUUUAGUUAAUACCUAGAGAUAGUGGACGUUACUCGCAGAAUAAGCACCGGCUAACUCUGUGCCAGCAGCCGCGGUAAUACAGAGGGUGCGAGCGUUAAUCGGAUUUACUGGGCGUAAAGCGUGCGUAGGCGGCUUAUUAAGUCGGAUGUGAAAUCCCCGAGCUUAACUUGGGAAUUGCAUUCGAUACUGGUGAGCUAGAGUAUGGGAGAGGAUGGUAGAAUUCCAGGUGUAGCGGUGAAAUGCGUAGAGAUCUGGAGGAAUACCGAUGGCGAAGGCAGCCAUCUGGCCUAAUACUGACGCUGAGGUACGAAAGCAUGGGGAACAAACAGGAUUAGAUACCCUGGUAGUCCAUGCCGUAAACGAUGUCUACUAGCCGUUGGGGCCUUUGAGGCUUUAGUGGCGCAGCUAACGCGAUAAGUAGACCGCCUGGGGAGU
rnacentral:rRNA from 1 species